GUUCCAAGGCGCAUCAUCUCCAUUAAAUGAUCAUGAACCAAUACUUCUUCUUCUUCAUUCCAUCGCUGAACAUUUCUCUAUUGAGAGCUUUUGCAGUUUCUGUGCUCUAAUUUUCUGAAACAGGAGAUUUCCCUCUCAUGGAAAGCAUCCCCAAACCAGCUGCUCUGCACAGGAAAAUCUAAUCCAUGAUGAUAACGAACUUAUUUUGUUGGCAUCUCUUGGCGAUUCAUUGGAGUAUGUUGAAGACUCUAUUGCAAGGCCGUGAAGAACAAAUGAUCCACUUGGAUUGACCUACAAGUGUGAGAAUUUGUCAAGGAAUAGCAAUGGGAUUGGCUUAUCUUCAUGAAGAAUCAUGACAGAAAAUAGUAUAUAGGGAUAUUUAGGUAACUAAUGUCUCGCUAGAUAAGGAUGUGAAUGCCAAGAUCUCUGACUUUAGUUUAGCAAAUUAAGCUCAAUUAAGAUGAUAAUACCCAUAUUAGCACCCGAAUAGCUAGAACAAUGUAUUAUGCCAUAUUAAAUUCUAUAUUUGAUUGCUCAUUAACAGAAUUUAUCUUCACCAUGCACUUCCUCUAUGAUGUAUGAUCUGCUAUUGCAUGAAGCCAUUCUCAUUCAAAUAAUCCUAGAAACAUCAAUAUUUCAUUUGUUUAGUAAAAUCACUAA